rnacentral:lncRNA from 1 species
AAACAUAGGCACUCAUGCAUGGGAUUUCAAAGAUAUAUGAUAUUGUGAUUCGAAUUGAGUGAGUAUGUUGAAAGAGCUGAAUGAGUACAAGUGCUAAUAGUUACGAGUCUUGAAAUAUACAUGGAUGAAAAAAUUAAUGCGGCAAGGUGAGCCAAACUAAUGAGGAUUAUUUCGGCCGUGUUGUCACCGUAAUAUCAACAACUGCCACGAAGGUACAUAUUUAUAUAAAUAACUACAUGCGCUAUGUGUGUAUUUAUUGUAUAGGAAAGUUACUAUCAAGUGCGCACAUAGAACUCGCUAUCAUCUACAAGUGCAACUAGAGUUUAUAUCCAUUUGAAUAUCAUCAGGUAAUCUAAUACCUUUGAAUGCAAUAGUUUGGUGCAACCGAAGUUGAUAUUCAGACAUCAAAAAGGAGACCCAAAGUAAUGAUUUCACAUCUCCUGUGAAGAUGAGCUGCUGAUUAGUAGUAUGCGUAAGCAUAAGUUGCAGGAACAUCAAUUGUAGACGUGCAUAAAUCUGUGAUUGGAGAUGUGCUCUUACCUUAUUAUUUAUACUUGGAAUGCGCUGAGCAGAACUCCGUCAUUGAAGAUGUACCCUUUACUUAUUAUUUUCUUUGAAUAAUGUUGUAUGAUACUCCCAUAUGAUUUCAGUCUGGUACAAAGUUGUGGAUACAAUUCAAUAAGUUCAUAGAAAACCCAUAUGCAAGGAUAUAUAGUUUAUAUUUGUAGAUGCUCUAUGUUAGGACAUCCUUCUAAUUAAAGAGUUAAAGAAAUAAACCCGACAAAUAAGUAACUCAUUGAUUCUUAUUUAUUUAUAUACUAUUUCAGAUGGUGAAGGAUUUAGUCAAGAGCGAUUGAAUGUGGAAUCACAUGGUAAUUUCCUUAGUAAGGCGAUUCUCCUUUUUUGCUGUGGGUAAUAUGUGUAAAAUUCAAAGAACAUGGUGAUGAUGGUUCCAAUGUAUGGCUUCCCAAGUUUCCUUUUUUGGAUCAUUCAUUAGGUGGCAUAUGUAUUAAUUAACAUUUGACCACUACUUUUUGUACGUCGUCCAGAAUUAUUAAUUUCAUUAGUUAAUUCAUAUUUUUUGGAAAAUGAAUAUGUCAGUUAAGAGGAUUUUGACUACCUUUUCAGAAAGUAUUCAGGGCACCGAGUAACAAGUAAUGGAAGCUCAGGUCUAGGUAGUGGGAUAAAUAUAAGAUAACAAAUCAUAAUAAAUAAAUAAAAAACAUCAUGUAGCUUUUACGACUCUUCAAGUUUGAAGUUUAUUCUAGAUUUCCAGUCAAACAAGAUAUAUGUACAGGUCAACUCCUCU